ensembl:lncRNA
ACACACACACACACACAGACGUACGUAUAUACACACACACAGAUGUACGGAUAUACACACACACACACACAGACGUACGGAUAUACACACACACACAGACGUUGGGAUAUACACACACACACAGACGUACGGAUAUACACACACACACACAGAAGUACGGAUAUACACACACACACAGACACGUUGGGAUAUACACACACACACAGACGUACGGAUACACACACACACUCACAGACGUUGGGAUAUGCACACACACACAGACACACACACAGACAGACGGAUAUACACACACACACACACAGAAGUACGGAUAUACACACACACACACAGACGUACGGAUAUACACACACACACACACACACACAGACGUACGGAUAUACACACACACACAGACGACGGAUAUACACACACACACAGACGUACGGAUAUACACACACACACACAGACGUACGGAUAUACACACACACAGAUGUACGGAUAUACACACACACACACACAGACGUACGGAUAUACACACACACACAGACGUUGGGAUAUACACACACACACACACAGAAACAUACGGAUAUGCACACACACACAGACAUACGGAUAUACACACACACACAGACGUACGGAUAUACACACACACACACAGAAGUACGGAUAUACACACACACACACAGACGUACGGAUAUACACACACACACACACACAGACGUUGGGAUACACACACACACACAGACGUACGGAUAUACACACACGCACAGACGUACGGAUAUACACACACACACACAGACGUACGGAUAUACACACACACACAGACGUACGGAUAUACACACACACACACACAUAAACAGACACACACACACCUCCGUUUGACCUCCAGUCGACAGGCCAUGUCACAGGCUGUCGUCUUGUCUUCAUCUCUGUUGCUCUCAUCUUCUCCUCUAACGCAUCCUCUUCUCCCAUUAACACAUUCUCCUUCUUCCAUCACUGCUAUAUCUGACUCAAAAACCGUGCGCGUGUGUGUGAUUGAUCAUCUCCAGUCGGGCUGUGAUCAGUAAUCAGAGGCAGAGCAUCUUUCAGAACUUUAGUAGCUGUCAUGGUGUGUUUCAUUGUUUGGUCGUGAGUAGCACCAACAGCUGAAGAGAGGAGACUGUUAAGUCACUCUGUCUGUCUGUCUGUCUGGCUGUCUGUCUGGCUGGCUGUCUCUGUCUGGCUGGCUGUCUGGCUGUCUGUCUGGCUGUCUGUCUGUCUGGCUGGCUGGCUGUCUCUGUCUGGCUGGCUGGCUGUCUCUGUCUGGCUGGCUGGCUGGCUGUCUCUGUCUGGCUGUCUGGCUGGCUGUCUGUCUCUGUCUGUCUGUCUGGCUGGCUGUCUCUGUCUGGCUGGCUGGCUGACUGGCUCUCUCUCUCUCUCUCUCUCUCUCUCUGGAAGUGUGUUGUCACUUUCACAGCUCUGCCAGGGACCAUUACAAUAUGGUGACUAGGAACACCACUAGCAACAACGUCUCUAUAUUCACAACAACACAAUCCCUACAUCUCUUCAGAUUUGAUGCAAUUCUAUUGUGCAAAACGCUCCAUUGAGGACUGAUAGGAGAGGGCAGCGUAUAAAUUAAGGGUCAAUAGCACUUCUGAAUUGAGCCUCUGAUUCAAUCCGGGAUUCAAUCCGAUCGCCUCUUUUAGGCUAUGCACCUUUUUAAAGGCAAUGUUCCCCAUGUUCGCGGUGACCACAUUUAUGUUAAACACUGCAUAUGUCAGCUCAAUCAGAAAUUACCUUUAAAUGUCAAAGCAAACUAAUAAAGCAGAGCUAACCGCUGAUUGGAUAGAAUGCCAGAGGGCUCAAUUUGAAAAACAACGUAUUGUCUGUGCACACAAUCAUAGAAAAGAUGGACGCAAUUUAUUUACCUUUAAAACAUGUUCCCUGUCAUUUUAGUUAUGCAACCUUUAUAUGCAGUAUGGAGCAGCUGAUGAUUUCAGCAGAUCUGUGAUUAAUGCGGCUUUUAAAGGUUCACGUUUUUUAAUGUCACGUGCACAAGUAUAGUGAAAUGCCUUUCUGUGUGUGUGUGUGUGUGUGUGUGUGUGUGUGUGUGUGUGUGUGUGUGUGUGUGUGUGUGUGUGUGUGUGUGUGUGUGUGUGUGUGUGUGUGUGUGUGUGUGUGUGUGUGUGUGUGUGUGUGUGUGUGUGUGUGUGUGUGUGUGAUCUUUAUCACGGAGGACAGCUGUUGAUCUGGCCGGAGAGGACACGUUCAGCACCGCCUGUUAAUGAGUCCUAUUGUGUAAAAAUGAGUCCUAUUGUGUGUGUUGGACUGUCAGUGACUGUGCAGGGCCCUGUCAGUGUGUGUGACUGUGCAGGGCCCUGUCAGUGUGUGUGACUGUGCAGGGCCCUGUCAGUGUGUGUGACUGUGCAGGGCCCUGUCAGUGUGUGUGACUGUGCAGGGCCCUGUCAGUGUGUGUGACUGUGCAGGGCCCUGUCAGUGUGUGUGACUGUGCAGGCCCCUGUCAGUGUGUGUGACUGUGCAGGGCCCUGUCAGUGUGUGUGACUGUGCAGGGCCCUGUCAGUGUGUGUGACUGUGCAGGGCCCUGUCAGUGUGUGUGACUGUGCAGGGCCCUGUCAGUGUGCAUAGAGACAGUGAAAAAAAUAAACCACAAGGGUCAACUCAGAUAGUCUGUGUUGUUCAGCGGUCGUAUGGCUUGGGGAUAGAAACUGUUCAGGGGCCUGUUGGUGUCAGAUUUCAUGCACCGGUACCGUGCGGAAGCAGAGAGAACAGUCUAUGGGUUGGCUGGAGUCGUUGACGCUUUUCCGGGCCUUCCUUUCACACCACCUGAUAUUUUGGUCCUGGAUGGCAGAGAGGUCGGCCCCAGUGAUGUACUGGGCUAGCUGCACCACCCUCUGUAGCGCCAUGCGAUCAGGGGCGGUGCUAUUACUAUACCAGGCGGUGAUGCAGCCAGUCAAGAUGCUCUCGAUGGUGCAGCUGUAUAAAUUAUUGAGGAUUUGAGGGCCCAUGCCAAAUCUUUUCAACCUCCUGAGGGGGAAGAGGCGCUGUUGUUCCUUCUUCAUGACUGUGCGCGUGUGUAGACCAUGUUAAUUCCUUAGUGAUUUGGACAACGAGGACAAUCUCACAUUGGCCUCGGAGAGUGAGAUCACCAAAUCUUCAGGGUCGGUUGGCAAACCUCACACCCGGCACAAAUGUUGUUAUUGUUGAAGCGUUCAUAAAAUGCACUGAGUUGGUCUUGUAGAGAGGCAUCGCUGGGUAGAUCACGGCUGGGUCUUCCUUUGUAAACCGUAAUGGACUGUAGCCCCUGCAACAUACUGCGGGCGUCAGAGCCUGUGAAAUAUGAUUCCACCUAAAUUGUCCUUUUGCUCGUCUGAUGACUGCAGUGGUCAUAGCGGAACUUCUUCUACUUGUUACUGUCGUCAGCCGUAGCUUCAGGGUUGUCUGGGAUAAGUAAUAUUCCUGUCGUCAGCCGUAGCUUCAGGGUUGUCUGGGAUAAGUAAUGUUCCUGUCCUCAGCUGUAGCUACAGGGUUGUCUGGGUGAAGUAAUGUUCCUGUCCUCAGCUGUAGCUACAGGGUUGUCUGGGAUAAGUAAUGUUCCUGUCCUCAGCUGUAGCUACAGGGUUGUCUGGGAUAAGUAAUGUUCCUGUCCUCAGCCGUAGCUACAGGGUUGUCUGGGAUAAGUAAUGUUCCUGUCCUCAGCCGUAGCUCCAGGGUUGUCUGGGAUAAGUAAUGUUCCUGUCCUCAGCCGUAGCUACAGGGUUGUCUGGGAUAAGUAAUGUUCCUGUCCUCAGCCGUAGCCUCCGAGUUGUCUGGGAUAAGUAAUGUUCCUGUCCUCAGCCGUAGCCUCCGGGUUGUCUGGGAUAAGUAAUGUUCCUGUCCUCAGCUUAAGCCUCCGGGUUGUCUGGGAUAAGUAAUGUUCCUGUCCUCAGCUGUAGC